rnacentral:misc_RNA from 1 species
UGUCAGAUCAUGGAACUUUACAAAAUCUGGUUCUAAGAAACUGUGUUCAUCUAAUAUUAAUGUGAAUGAGCAGAGUUUUGGCUGUAUAAAAUAUAUCAUUUUGCAAGGACAUCUUUCUGGAUCAUUGUCCCAAAAGAUUCCAGUGAAAUGCAUUCCUUCAGAAGCACUAGGAUCAGUGGCAGCUGCAGGCAACCCUGAUCAAAACAUUAUUAUGGUGGACUCUUCUAUAAUCAGUAGUCACAGGGAUGAGAUGGAAUUCAGCCGAGUCAAUUGUCUUGUGUGGGUACUGCAUGAAUCUGCAAGAAGCUUUUCAGUUGCAGUACAGCCCCUUGAAUUGGCUAAAAA